rnacentral:rRNA from 1 species
GAUGAACGCUGGCGGCGUGCUUAACACAUGCAAGUCGAACGAUGAAGCCCAGCUUGCUGGGUGGAUUAGUGGCGAACGGGUGAGUAACACGUGAGUAACCUGCCCUUAACUCUGGGAUAAGCCUGGUAAACUGGGUCUAAUACCGGAUAGGAGCGUCCACCGCAUGGUGGGUGUUGGAAAGAUUUAUCGGUUUUGGAUGGACUCGCGGCCUAUCCGCUUGUUGGUGAGGUAAUGGCUCACCAAGGCGACGACGGGUAGCCGGCCUGAGAGGGUGACCGGCCACACUGGGACUGAGACACGGCCCAGACUCCUACGGGAGGCAGCAGUGGGGAAUAUUGCACAAUGGGCGCAAGCCUGAUGCAGCGACGCCGCGUGAGGGAUGACGGCCUUCGGGUUGUAAACCUCUUUCAGUAGGGAAGAAGCGAAAGUGACGGUACCUGCAGAAGAAGCACCGGCUAACUACGUG